CUCUCCCGCCACUCAUCCCUGCACAAGAGAGAGGGAAUCUGUAUCCCUGAGGGGUCUGUUCGAAAGCCCGUCGCUGCCUGGCCAGUGCUGUAUCAAGAUUUUAGCUCCCUCUGAGGAGAUGUGUCAUAAAUUGCAAAGAACACUGAUGACUGACAAUAUUGGCAAACCCAUUCCAGGAGGAGAUGGAAGAGAACCCAAAACAAACACAUAUGGCGGACUCUUGCCGACCCUCGUGUCCUAGAGCCAUCUCAGUUCUUCCCUCGGGUGUGGUCUCAGCCAAGAUACAGCAGCUUUGCAGCCCCACUGGUGGAAGCUGGAAUGUGGACACGGGACAGGUGGGGUCGAGUAUUUUUACCGCUGACACACCUAGCCCUGUCAUGAGCCUGGCUAGCCAACACGGUGAUAACAAUACCUGCAGUCUGUCUACACUACAGUUACCACUGGCAGAGCUGAACCCACUGGGAGUUGACAGGUGUCUAAAACCUUCGUGUAAAUGUAGCAAGGACA
rnacentral:lncRNA from 1 species